rnacentral:rRNA from 1 species
AGCGAACGCUGGCGGCAGGCCUAACACAUGCAAGUCGAACGAACACGUCGGACUUAGUUGCGGACGUGUGAUGAACACCGGGGAACUUACCUUUAGGUUCGCAAUCACUCACUUUAACUUGAGCUAAUACCGCUUGUGCCAAUCGGGGGAAAGAUGUAUGGCCUUUGGGUCGGCACGCGUCUGUUUAGCUAGUUGGGGAGGUAAAGGCGCACCAAGGCGACGAUCAUUGGCUGGUCGGAGAAGAUGACCAGCCACAUUGGGAAUGCGACACGGACUACACUCCUACGGGGGGCAGCAGAGGGGAAUAUUGCGGAAUGAGGGAAAGCGUGACGAAGCCAUGCCGGGUGAAUGGUGAAGGUCUUAGGAUUGUAAAAUUCUUUCACAGGGGACGAUAGUGACGGUACCCGGAGAAGAAGCACCGGCUAACUACGUG